GACGUUAUGUUUCAGAUAACAGAAGAGGAACUGAUGACUCUGAGGAGCAGACAGAUGAUCAUGUGACUUAUUCUGAGGUCACUGCGUACAGUAAAAACCAAGACCAAAAGAAGAAGGUUCGCUGUGAUGAUAAAGUGACUUAUGCUUCCAUCAGAGGAGCAAAAGCUGGAUCUCAGGAAAACUGCAGUGAACUUUAUGCCUCUGUGAACAAGAACCAUCACAAAUCAGUCAAAUAAUGACACAAAAACCACAUGAGCAGAAGAAUAUGAAUCUAAUAGAACUGAGUCCUAAUGGUGUCAUUCAGUGCCAUUAUAAAUACUUUCAAUGUCUUUUACAUGUUCACAAACAAACCCAAGUGAUGCUCUGA